AGAUGGACAAGAGGACCAUGCGGAUUGCAUCUGCAGGGCAAGUAGCAAGAUGUUCGGCGGAAUGUUCUGCGGAACGGUGGACGGACCUGUUGUGGCGUGCCAAGAUGGUGGUGGUGGUGGUGGUGGUGGUGGUGUGGCGUAGGACGUCCCGGCUGCUGGCGGACGAACGCGCGGGUGAGAGGACGUACCAGCCUGCUAAGUAGGAGCUGGAGAGGACGCACGGGGGUAGGGAGCUCGUGGUGGAAGGAAGAUGUGCCCAUGCCCGCCACGGCAGCUGAC
rnacentral:lncRNA from 1 species